AGCAGUACUACAACGCAUGACCUCAUUGGGGUAGGACAACCCGCUAGACUUAAGCAUAUUAAUCAGCGGAGGAAAAGAAACUAACCAGGAUUCCCUCAGUAACUGCGAGUGAAGCGGGAUCGGCUCAAUGUGUGAAUCUGGCUUGGGGUACAUCCCGGGUCCGAGUUGUGCACUAUGGAUGCUUCGUCUGCGUUUGUAAAGGCAGUGGAAGUCCGUUGAAACACGGCACCUCAGAGGGUCACAGUCCUGUACCACCUGCCUGCACUCGCGCCAAUGACAAGUGCUCCUCGAGUCGCGUAGUUUUGUAAUGCUGCGCCAAGUGGGAGGUAGAGACCUUCUAAGGCUAAAUAUGAUGACGUGACCGAUAGCACACAAGUACCGCGAGGGAAAGGUGAAAAGCAACCAUGAAAAAUGGGUUGAAACAGUAGUGAAAUCGCUAC
rnacentral:rRNA from 1 species